rnacentral:rRNA from 1 species
AUUGAACGCUGGCGGCAGGCCUAACACAUGCAAGUCGAGCGGCAGCGGGAAAGUAGCUUGCUACUUUUGCCGGCGAGCGGCGGACGGGUGAGUAAUGCCUGGGAAAUUGCCCAGUCGAGGGGAUAACAGUUGGAAACGACUGCUAAUACCGCAUACGCCCUACGGGGGAAAGCAGGGGACCGUCGGGCCUUGCGCGUUUGGAUAUGCCCAGGGGGGAUUAGCUAGUUGGGGAGGUAAUGGCUCACCAAGGCGACGAUCCCUAGCUGGUCUGAGAGGAUGAUCAGCCACACUGGAACUGAGACACGGUCCAGACUCCUACGGGAGGCAGCAGUGGGGAAUAUUGCACAAUGGGGGAAACCCUGAUGCAGCCAUGCCGCGUGUGUGAAGAAGGCCUUCGGGUUGUAAAGCACUUUCAGCGAGGAGGAAAGGUUGAUGCCUAAUACGUAUCAACUGUGACGUUACUCGCAGAAGAAGCACCGGCUAACUCCGUGCCAGCCGCCGCGGUAAGAC